rnacentral:lncRNA from 1 species
UUAUAAAAAAAGCUGAGUACUAAAAAGGCAGGACAAUGGGAGAGAAAGGAGAGAGAAGAAAGGAUAAAGUGAAAUGGAGGAGCGAAAAGGAGCACUCGUGAAGGACCAUAUGCUUUGAGGUACACUCAAAUGAAAAUGAGGCUGAACGUUCCCACCCUGAUAAGACCAUCUCAGGCCACCCUCGCCACCCCACUUUGCCAGAUGGCAUUUCACUCACCAAAUCCUAGACUGCCUUUGACUUUCAACAGAAUUGGACUAGUAGAUACUAAUAUGGUUUAGCAAUGAAUACUUCAUAUGUCUGCAAUGAGAUGCUAAAGCCCUCGACAGUCUCAACAAAUACCGUUGGCUUCAGCCUCUACAGUGGAGCAAAGUCCUGUUGGCCCUAUCAACUCAGAAGUAUCUUCCAUUCUCUAUUUUUAGAAUGAUCCUCUCCCUCACCCAAGGUCCACAUUCAAAGCAAUAUGCUUGUAACAACCGAGAAAAAAUUGAAUUUAGCGCAUGGGGAAGCAGAAGAGAAGGAGAAAGACAGAAAGGGGGGGGAAAAGAGAGAAGGAGAGAAGGAGAGGCAGAGAUCAUUUUUUUAAACCCUCAUAUGUUUAUACCAUCACAUGCCAUUUCUCCUUAAAAGGCCAAACUUUAGGCAAGGCAUUCAUUCAACGAGUGCACACAGAGGCUGGAGAGCCUUUGGCAGGAACUUAGAGGUAGGAAUUUAUGACUGUGGGAUUGAGCUGGGUGACCAGAUAGGUCCCAUCCAAGAAACGCACACUCCGCACAUCGUAUACUUUCUUGGGUGAUUUGGCAAAAUCAGACUACAUGGUGGAAAAAGCAGUUUUGUUCCCUACAUCACUUCAAAACUUUUCCCAGAUUCAGAUGUUAGAAAUGAGACUGUGGCCAGCAAACACCUGGGGAGUAAGGUGAAGACGCUAACACCUACUGUUCCAAGAACUCUCCUUGGAGCAAACAACUGAAAUUGAGGCAGAGCAAAGUGGAGUGGUGACCACAGGGCCACUAGACCGACUUCACGUCGAAUUUACACAGCUCCCUGAGCUCUGAUCUGAGAAACCCACACCUUUUUCUUUUUAAUAUUCAAUAAGUACAUACUAAGGACGCUAAAAAUAUAGAUUUAAAAAAAUAUUUUGCUAUCAAAAUGCAAGACUAUCUACCUAAAGCUUAUCAUUUAGGCAAUGGCAGUAGACACGGCCCUCCUUCAUGAGCAGAUGUCUUGUCUCGGGUCAGCCUUCUCCAUAAAAGGAGAAGAUGAAUGGCCUCUAGCUGAAUGCUGCUUUGAGCCUCUCCAUUGCUUGGAAAGCCUGGUCUCUGGGAAACUACGUGACUUUUUCUCCCCUUGAGGCACACGAUCAAGCAGUUCUUAAAUGCCAGAAUGUAUGGCUUGGGGUGUGGGAUGGC